CAUCUCUUUUGCAUUUUUUUUCCUUUGUGAGGUAAAGCAGCAUUUUCCUGGCUACUCUGACUUUGCUCAUGAGAAAUAGUCUCAUUACUAUGAAUGAAAUGUGUGGGGAUCUGAUCUCUUCUAACAGCUCAGGAGUCUUUUUUUCUGAGAUAGGGUUUCUCUCUGUUGCCUAGGCUGGAGUACAGUGGUGUGAUCAUGGCUAACUGUAGCCUCGAACUCCUGGGCUCAAGUCAUCCUCCUGCCUCAGCCUCCCGAUAGCUGGGAUUAAAGGUGCCUGCCACCACACUCAGCUAAUUUUUGUAUUUUUAGUAGACAUGGGGUUUCACCACAUUGGCCACGCUGGUCUCGAACUCCUGACCUCAAGUGAUCUGCCUGCCUCGGCCUCCCAAAGUGCUGGGAUUACAGGUGUGAGCCACUGCGCCUGGCCUAGCAUCGUAUUUUUGAGGUUAGCCUUGCCUAUUUAAAAAUGUUUUGAUAUCUUUUUAAAUCUAUGGGUUCCCCCUCCACCCCUUUCUUUCAAGUUAUCUGUUGAAGAAGUUGGG
ensembl:lncRNA IGBP1-AS1 IGBP1 antisense RNA 1